rnacentral:sRNA from 1 species
GAAAUAUAUAUAUCCUCGUCAUAUUUGAUGAUUGUGUUUUUACUUUCAUUUAAAUAAAAUGUUUUGUUGGGGUCUUAGGGUAUUGUGAACAUUAUAAUGAUGUAUUAAAAGACUCUAGUCAUAUACAUGUAUUAUUGGUUAAGGAUAUAUUUACAAUAUCAUUGUUGACAGUUAAAUCUUAAUGUUUAAAGUUCAUGAUAUUGGUUUCUCAAAUUUAGUUUAAUACAGUUAAAAAGACAAUUUUGCAUUCUUAUUAAGCAAGAUUUACUUUGGUUUACCAAUCCUAGUUCAUUUUCCAUAUAAUUUUUCAAUUAUGUCCACAGUCUGCACAAUUUGACAGAACCGCUUAAGAUUAAGAAUUGCUUUUAUCAAAAUGCGUUUGUAUAAGAAUAACUUUUUUCAGCAGCAUCUACUAGUAAACCUGUUGCUUCAAGAUAUUUGCUUUUGAUAAAAUGUAAAGGAGUUAAAUCUUACUAACGUUUUCUUAGAUUCAUGUUCUUUUGCUUACUUAAAUGUUGAGAUUUAUUUUUGCUGGUUUUGAAUAAUUUGCUGUGAAAUGGUCUCUACCGCUGCUUUUAUUUUCAUCUGUGUGAGAAGAAAAUGCCUUGUCAGAUUAAAAAAAUCAAUA